rnacentral:rRNA from 1 species
GACGAACGCUGGCGGCGUGCUUAACACAUGCAAGUCGAACGGAAAGGCCCUGCUUUUGUGGGGUGCUCGAGUGGCGAACGGGUGAGUAACACGUGAGUAACCUGCCCUUGACUUUGGGAUAACUUCAGGAAACUGGGGCUAAUACCGGAUAGGAGCUCCUGCUGCAUGGUGGGGGUUGGAAAGUUUCGACGGUUGGGGAUGGACUCGCGGCUUAUCAGCUUGUUGGUGGGGUAGUGGCUUACCAAGGCUUUGACGGGUAGCCGGCCUGAGAGGGUGACCGGCCACAUUGGGACUGAGAUACGGCCCAGACUCCUGCGGGAGGCAGCAGUGGGGAAUAUUGCACAAUGGGCGGAAGCCUGAUGCAGCAACGCCGCGUGCGGGAUGACGGCCUUCGGGUUGUAAACCGCUUUCGCCUGUGACGAAGCGUGAGUGACGGUAAUGGGUAAAGAAGCACCGGCUAACUACGUG